rnacentral:rRNA from 1 species
AACGAACGCUGGCGGCAGGCUUAACACAUGCAAGUCGAGCGCCCCGCCAGGGGAGCGGCAGACGGGUGAGUACCGCGUGGGAACGUACCUUUUGGUUCGGAACAACUCCGUGAAACUGGAGCUAAUACCGGAUAAGCCCUAACGGGGAAAGAUUUAUCGCCGAACGCGCGGCCCGCGUCUGAUUAGCUAGUUGGUGAGGUAACGGCUCACCAAGGCGACGAUCAGUAGCUGGUCUGAGAGGAUGAUCAGACACACUGGGACUGAGACACGGCCCAGACUCCUACGGGAGGCAGGAGUGGGGAAUAGUGGAAAAUGGGGGCAAGGCUGAACCAGCCAUGCAGCGUGAGUGAUGAAGGCAGUAGGGUUGUAAAGCGCUUUUGUCCGGGAAGAUAAUGACUGUACCGGAAGAAUAAGCCACGGCUAACUUCGUG